GGGACGAACGCUGGCGGCGUGCUUAACACAUGCAAGUCGAGCGGAAAGGCCCUUCGGGGUACUCGAGCGGCGAACGGGUGAGUAACACGUGAGUAAUCUGCCCCUAGCUCUGGGAUAGCUCCGGGAAACCGGGAUUAAUACCGGAUAUGACCACUUUAGACAUCUGCUGUGGUGGAAAGAAUUUCGGCUAGGGAUGAGCUCGCGGCCUAUCAGCUUGUUGGUGGGGUAACGGCCUACCAAGGCGACGACGGGUA
rnacentral:rRNA from 1 species